CGUGUAGGCGGUUUUAUAAGUCUGAUGUGAAAGCCCUGGGCUCAACCUGGGAAGUGCAUUGGAUACUGUAAGACUUGAAUACGGGAGAGGGCAGUGGAAUUCCUGGUGUAGGAGUGAAAUCCGUAGAUAUCAGGAGGAACACCGGUGGCGAAGGCGGCUGCCUGGACCGAUAUUGACGCUGAGACGCGAAAGCGUGGGUAGCAAACAG
rnacentral:rRNA from 1 species